GAUGAACGCUAGCGGCAGGCUUAAUACAUGCAAGUCGAGGGGCAGCAUGAUUGUAGCAAUACAAUUGAUGGCGACCGGCAAACGGGCGCGGAACACGUACACAACAUUCCAACAAGUGGGGGAUAGCCCAGAGAAAUUUGGAUUAAUACCCCGUAACAUAGCGAUGUGGCACAUCAUUGCUUUUCUAGAUUUUUCGCGUGUUGAUGGGUGUGCGGCUGAUUAGAUAGUUGGCGGGGUAACGGCCCACCAAGUCUACGAUCAGUAGCUGAUGUGAGAGCAUGAUCAGCCACACGGGCACUGAGACACGGGCCCGACUCCUACGGGAGGCAGCAGUAAGGAAUAUUGGACAAUGGACGCAAGUCUGAUCCAGCCAUGCCGCGUGAAGGAUUAAGGUCCUCUGGAUUGUAAACUUCUUUUAUAAGGGACGAAAAAAGGCUUUUCUAAGUCGUCUGACGGUACCUUAUGAAUAAGCACCGGCUAACUCCGUGCCAGCAGCCGCAGUAAUAC
rnacentral:rRNA from 1 species